rnacentral:rRNA from 1 species
GAAACCCUGAUGCAGCGACGCMGCGUGMGGGAUGACGGCCUUCGGGUUGUAAACCKCUUUCAGCAGGGAAGAAGCSYAAGUGACGGUACCUGCAGAARAAGUMCCGGCUAACUACSUGCCAGCAGCCGCGGUAAUACGUAGGGKACGAGCGUUGUCCGGAAUUAUUGGGCGUAAAGAGCUCGUAGGKGGUUGGUCACGUCUGCUGUGGAAACSCAACGCUUAACSYUGCGCGUGCAGUGGGUACGGGCUGACUAGAGUGCAGUAGGGGAGWCUGGAAUUCCUGGUGUAGCGGUGAAAUGCGCAGAUWUCAGGAGGAACACCGGUGGCGAAGGCGGGACUCUGGGCUGUAACUGACACUGAGGAGCGAAAGCAUGGGGAGCGAACAGGAUUAGAUACCCUGGUAGUCCAUGCCGUAAACGUUGGGCACUAGGUGUGGGGGGCAUUCCACGUUYUCCGCGCCGUAGCUAACGCAUUAAGUGCCCCGCCUGGGGGARGUACGG